rnacentral:rRNA from 1 species
UACAGAGGGGGCAAGCGUUGUUCGGAAUUACUGGGCGUAAAGCGCACGUAGGCGGCUUUGUAAGUUAGAGGUGAAAGCCCAGAGCUCAACUCUGGAACUGCCUUUAAGACUGCAUCGCUUGAAUUGUGGAGAGGUAAGUGGAAUUCCGAGUGUAGAGGUGAAAUUCGUAGAUAUUCGGAAGAACACCAGUGGCGAAGGCGACUUACUGGACACAUAUUGACGCUGAGGUGCGAAAGCGUGGGGAGCAAACAGG